GCCCUUGUAGCUCAGUCGGUAGAGCACCUGAUUUGUAAUCAGGGGGUCGCGGGUUCGAACCCUGCCGGGGGCACCA
rnacentral:tRNA from 1 species